rnacentral:tRNA from 1 species
CUGAGCGUAGUUCAGUUGGGAGAAUGCCUGAUUUGGGAUCAGGUGGUCGCAGGUUCGAGCCCUGCCGCUCAGACCA